rfam:Caenorhabditis tropicalis strain JT1373 unplaced genomic scaffold Scaffold629, whole genome shotgun sequence.
CACUUCGGUCCGGAGUUGAUGGGUUAUCUAUUAAAUGAUUCUUCUCCUGCUUCCAAUUCCCCGCCUAACCCCAUCAACACCAAUUUGACCGUUGU